GAUGAAGAACGUAGCGAAAUGCGAUAAGUAGUGUGAAUUGCAGAAUUCAGUGAAUCAUCGAAUCUUUGAACGCACAUUGCGCCCUUUGGUAUUCCAAGGGCAUGCCUGUUCGAGCGUCAUUUGUACCCUCAAGCUUUGCUUGGUGUUGGGCGUCUUGUCUCUAGCUUUGCUGGAGACUCGCCUUAAAGUAAUUGGCAGCCGGCCUACUGGUUUCGGAGCGCAGCACAAGUCGCACUCUCUAUCAGCAAAGGUCUAGCAUCCAUUAAGCCUUUUUUUCAACUUUUGACCUCGGAUCAGGUAGGGAUACCCGCUGAACUUAAGCAUAUCAAUAAGCGGAGGA
rnacentral:misc_RNA from 1 species